CGCACAUUGCGCCUUUUGGUACUCCGAAAGGCAUGCCUGUUUGAGUGUCAUAUAGACUCUCAUACCUAGUUUUCUAUGUAUGAGCUUUGGACGCUGCCAUCUCUGGCUCGUCUUAAAUGACUAAGUGGAAUGCGUAAUAAGUUUUCGCUCCCUCCACUCUAAUACUCUUUGUUUUAGACCUCAAAUCAGGUAGGACUACCCGCUGAACUUAA
rnacentral:misc_RNA from 1 species